CUGUAACACAUGCCGUUGCUUAUUGCUCCCCCUGUAUCUAACUAACAUUGUGUUUUGUAUGUUAUUUUAAGUAAUGAUAGCCUCAAUCAGUUUGACCUACAGAGUGUCAGCCUCUGGUCUAUGAAUCCCACACAUUGGGAGUUAUGUAUAAAGAUUGUUGCAUUUUCUUUUUAUGUUUGUACCAGUUUUGUGAGCAUGCACCAUUUUCUAACGUAUAAUUCUUUAAUUUCACUCCUUAUACAUUGAUGGUUGGCUUUCUACCUUUUCAAUGAUGCGACAAAAUAAUGCAUCCUUCUGACACUUGUUCUUCCUCUUUUGAAUUGUCUGCUCCUUUUUUAUCCAUUGAUUACGUUCACAAAAUAAGAUUAAUCAAUGAGGCUUUUGCAAUUUAAAGGCCCGUGAAAGAAUACCCACCACUCUGAC